UAUGAAGUACGGGGUGGACGGUGUGUCGCUGGCGUCGCUUGUCGCUUGUUUUUGAGGCCAGUCGCCAUUUUGGAAGUUGCGUUAACUCUGUCUCAGUCCGCGGCCGUGCCGUGAUCGAGGAUUAAGGGGCCUGCGAGGCGGCCGGCAACCACCAGACGGCCACCGAUGGCCGUGGCCGGCCAUGAACGGCGUGUAGGACAAGUCGGAGGGCCCCGCUCAGCCAGAUUCUGAUUCCCAGGGUGCGAGGCUGAAUUCUCCGAAGUGCAUCGUAAGGCUGACUUGCAUGGACAUCCGCAAAUUACCGCAGCAGCUUCCUCCGCCAGCAGCACAUGCAGGUGCAACCUUCGACCCUGCGGCCUCCUCCCAUCGCUGAGAGCGAUUCUUUCGCAUGGAUGUCCUGCAGAACAUACCCUUGCCACCAGCCGCACGAGGGGCUCUAUUUUGAAGACAGAUAUAAUGCCUGGCUCUUCCUCCGAGUGGCUUUGGCAACAAGGUGCUGAACGUUGAGGGGACGGACGUUGUGUAGCUUGAGUUCGCCGUUGAGGAUUAAUUGUUUACGAGCGAUUGUCCAUCGCCAACGUCGUCCGUGUCUUCGACUUAGUCGACCAACUGCUCGGGAGCAAUGGGCUGCAUCCUCGGCGCUUGCGGCCGUGACGUCGGCCUUUUUGGCAGUGCUGCCGUCCAAUUCUCAUCCGCUCGGGCGAUUGUCCGCAAACCCUGAAGCAGCGGGAACGUCGGGAACGUGCAUCCUUCGCACUAUCUCAUCCCCAACAGCCUUCGGCAGCACGAACAACGCGUCAACGUCAGGCCGCCUCCCAGCUUGGCCGGCGUCAUGAAGGCGGAGCCGCCCAGCAUCAAGGUUACGCCCCGCCACCAGGGUUCCAUCCAGAAAGUCAGACGCGAUUGAGUCUCUCUCCAAGAGCGUGAAGCAGGCUCUAAGCUGUGGUGACGCGGAGAGCAAGUUUGCCGUUCCCGAACCGACGCUAAGCCUGGCUAAAAAGCUGGUCAAGACUGCGGUUGGCGAGAGAACUUCGUUCGGCGACUCCGCGCUGUCCGACCGCACUCUAUGGUCAGACCAGCGUUGGCGUUGGCUGCAGCACUUGCUUGACAAAGUGCUCAGCAAGUGCAGCCGCCACUUACGUUGGCUCCUUGAGCGCGUCUCCUUGUCUUCGCUCGAGAAGCAGGUCGCCGAGCUGACCAUUGCCAAGUCAGCCACUCUCUCAAAUCACCGUUAGACUCGCAGGCAUGGCACUGGCAGAUACAGGAGGAUGUGUGCUCUGUUGGCCUUCGGUCGUAAUUUAGUUGCCCGGGACCCGGCCAACGACCAUUAGGGGACUGUCGAGGACCACGGCUGACCCGCGGCCACAC